rnacentral:rRNA from 1 species
UAAGGAAUAUUGGUCAAUGGACGCAAGUCUGAACCAGCCAUGCCGCGUGAAGGAUGAAGGUCCUCUGGAUUGUAAACUUCUUUUAUCUGGGACGAAAACGGGAUUUUUAUCUCAAUUGACGGUACCAGAGGAAUAAGCACCGGCUAACCCCGUGCCAGCAGCCGCGGUAAUACGGAGGGUGCGAGCGUUAUCCGGAUUUACUGGGUUUAAAGGGUGCGUAGGUGGGCUUAUAAGUCAGUGGUGAAAUCUCCGAGCUUAACUUGGAAACUGCCGUUGAUACUAUAGAUCUUGAAUUAUGUGGAGGUAAGCGGAAUAUGUCAUGUAGCGGUGAAAUGCUUAGAUAUGACAUAGAACACCAAUUGCGAAGGCAGCUUACUACAUAUAAAUUGACGCUGAGGCACGAAAGCGUGGGGAUCAAACA